GACGCACGCUGGCGGCGUGCCUAAUACAUGCAAGUCGAGCGAAUCAAUAGGAGCUUGCUCCUGGUGGUCAGCGGCGGACGGGUGAGUAACACGUGGGCAACCUGCCUGUAAGACUGGGCUAACACCGGGAAACCGGUGCUAAUACCGGAUAAUCCUUUUUCUCUCAUGAGGAAAAGCUGAAAGUCGGUUUCGGCUGAUACUUACAGAUGGGCCCGCGGCGCAUUAGCUAGUUGGUGAGGUAACGGCUCACCAAGCCGACGAUGCGUAGCCGACCUUAGCGGGGUAUCUGCCACACGGGGACUGAGACACGGCCCAGACUCCAACGGGAGGCAGCAGUAGGGAAUCGUCCUCAUUGGACGAAAGUCUGAUGGAGCAACCCCGCGUGAGCGACGAAGGCCUUCGGGUCGUAAAGCUCUGUUGUUAGGGAAGAACAAGUACCGGAGUAACGGCCGGUACCUUGACGGUACCUAACCAGAAAGCCACGGCUAACUACGUGCCAGCAGCCGCCGUAAUAC
rnacentral:rRNA from 1 species